rnacentral:rRNA from 5 species
AGAAGCGACCUCGCGAGAGCAAGCGGACCUCAUAAAGUGCGUCGUAGUCCGGAUUGGAGUCUGCAACUCGACUCCAUGAAGUCGGAAUCGCUAGUAAUCGUGGAUCAGAAUGCCACGGUGAAUACGUUCCCGGGCCUUGUACACACCGCCCGUCACACCAUGGGAGUGGGUUGCAAAAGAAGUAGGUAGCUUAACCUUCGGGAGGGCGCUUACCACUUUGUGAUUCAUGACUGGGGUGAAGUCGUAACAAGGUAACCGUAGGGGAACCUGCGGUUGGAUCACCUCCUUACCUUAAAGAA